rnacentral:sRNA from 1 species
UCUCUUUCCCUCUCGGCUCUCUCUCAUAUCUCUCUUCUCUCCACCGCAAGCACACACACGCACACCAUUUCCCCUGUGCGAGGAAGACCAUCAUCACCAUCAAUCUCAUCCUUCUUUUUCCUCUUUCCCGUGCUGCAAACCCAGAAAACCGGAAAAGGAAUUCUGGCGAGAUUUCCUAUUUCCCGGUUAGGUAAGCCUCAAAUAUUCCCUAUUUCAUCCUAGAAUCUUGUGGGUUGGGUUUUUUAAUUGAGUUUUAUGUGCACACCCAUCUCCGGCGAUCCUGAGGGUGUAAGGGGAGAUUCCGGCCAUCUCCGGCCGUUCCACGACGAAAGGAAGGUAUAUAGUUACUCCCUUUGUCUUGCUCUUCGUUUUGAUACCUAGAUCGAGGUCUAGGGUUGCGUGUGGUGGUCGGCCGGAGCUGUUGAAGCUCCGUUGUUCUCCGACGAAACCAGGCCCUCCAAGCCGUUUCUGAGUCAAGCGGGCCUUAGGCCCGUGUGGUGAGCCUAGCCCAAUCCCCCUAACCCAUUUGUUUUUCUUUUGUUUUUAAUUAAUUAGUUUAGGACCUAAAAGGCCUUCGGGCCAUUAGGAUUAGGGC